rnacentral:lncRNA from 1 species
CAACUUAUUUGAGAAGACAAUAUUAAAAGUUGGACCGGAAAAUGUGGUUCAAGUUGUUACUGAUAACGCAAGUGAGAAUAAAAAGGCGGGUGACAUGUUGAAAGGAGUUUUUCCAAGUAUUUAUUGGACUCCUUGUGUUGCACAUUGUAUCAACUUGAUCAUUGGUGACAUUUUCAAGUUAGCCCCAUAUUCUACAGGUGAACAAGUGGUUCUUAUUUUCUAUUUUAAGUUUUUAACCUUCAUGUUAAAUAUUUCAUACGUGGUUCUUAUUUUCUAUUUUAAGUUUUUAACCUUCAUAUUAAAUAUUUCAUACUUAUUAACUAUGAAAUUUGACUUCCUACAGUUUUUGCUAAGGCGGUCAAGAUAUAUUCUUACAUUAGCCAAAGACCGUUGUUGUUGAACAUGAUGAGAAGAUACACAAAAGAAAGAAAUUUGGUGAAACCAGCCAAGACAAGAUUCGCAACAGCUCUCUUGACCUUGCAAAGAUUUUACGUGCAAAAGCAAAAUUUGCGAACCAUGUUCUUGUCAACUGAAUGGAUUGAGAGUAACUAUGCAAAGGAAACUCUUGCGAAAGAAGUUGCGAGAUUUGCUAUUUGUCCUGCUUUUUGGAAUGACACUGUUCAAGCACUUAGAGUUGGUAAUCCUUUGAUUACUGUACUUCGUCUGGUGGAUG